rnacentral:rRNA from 1 species
AUUGAACGCUGGCGGCAUGCCUUACACAUGCAAGUCGAACGGCAGCAUGGAGGAGCUUGCUCCUCUGAUGGCGAGUGGCGAACGGGUGAGUAAAGCAUCGGAACGUACCGUGUAGUGGGGAUAACGUAGCGAAAGUUACGCUAAUACCGCAUACGCACUGAGGUGGAAAAGCAGGGGAUCGCAAGACCUUGCGCUAUACGAGCGGCCGAUGUCAGAUUAGCUAGUUGGUAGGGUAAAGGCCUACCAAGGCGACGAUCUGUAGCGGGUCUGAGAGGAUGAUCCGCCACACUGGGACUGAGACACGGCCCAGACUCCUACGGGAGGCAGCAGUGGGGAAUUUUGGACAAUGGGGGAAACCCUGAUCCAGCCAUGCCGCGUGAGUGAAGAAGGCCUCGGUUGU